UACAGAGGUCUCAAGCGUUGUUCGGAUUCAUUGGGCGUAAAGGGUGCGUAGGUGGCGGGGUAAGUCAGGUGUGAAAUCUCGGGGCUCAACCCUGAAACUGCACUUGAUACUGCCUUGCUCGAGUACUGGAGAGGAGAUUGGAAUUUACGGUGUAGCAGUGAAAUGCGUAGAUAUCGUAAGGAAGACCAGUGGCGAAGGCGAAUCUCUGGACAGUUACUGACACUGAGGCACGAAGGCCAGGGGAGCAAACGGG
rnacentral:rRNA from 1 species